rnacentral:rRNA from 1 species
CCUGAUUGAUUCUGUCAGCGCGAUAUGCUCAAGUAAAAGAUUAAGCCAUGCAUGCUUUGAUUCAUCAAUGAAAUUGCGUACGGCUCAUUAGAGCAGAUAUCACCUUGUUCGGAAUAUUAUAUGGAUAACUGCGGAAAUACUGGAGCUAAUACAUGUCAUACAUCCCCAACGUAAGGCGGGGUGCAAUUAUUAGAACAGACCAAACGUUUUCGGACGUUGUUUGUUGACUCUGAAUAAAGCAGUUUACUGUCAGUUUCGACUGACUCUAUCCGAAAAGGGUGUCUGCCCUUUCAACUAGAUGGUAGUUUAUUGGACUACCAUGGUUGUUACGGGUAACGGAGAAUAAGGGUUCGACUCCGGAGAGGGAGCCUUAGAAACGGCUACCACGUCCAAGGAAGGCAGCAGGCGCGAAACUUAUCCACUGUUGAGUAUGAGAUAGUGACUAAAAAUAUAAAGACUCAUCCUUUUGGAUGAGUUAUUUCAAUGAGUUGAAUACAAAUGAUUCUUCGAGUAGCAAGGAGAGGGCAAGUCUGGUGCCAGCAGCCGCGGUAAUUCCAGCUCUCCUAGUGUAUCUCGUUAUUGCUGCGGUUAAAAAGCUCGUAGUUGGAUCUAGGUUACGUGCUGCAGUUCGCAAUUUGCGUCAACUGUAGUCGUGACUUCUAAUUUGCUGGUUUGAGGUUGGGUUCGCCCUUCAACUGCCAGCAGGUUUACCUUGAAUAAAUCAGAGUGCUCAAAACAAGUGUUUGCUUGAAUAGCUCAUCAUGGAAUAAUGAAACAGGACUUCGGUUCUUUUUGUUGGUUCUAGAACUGAUUUAAUGGUUAAGAGGGACAAACCGGGGGCAUUCGUAUCAUUACGCGAGAGGUGAAAUUCGUGGACCGUAGUGAGACGCCCAACAGCGAAAGCAUUUGCCAAGAAUGUCUUCAUUAAUCAAGAACGAAAGUCAGAGGUUCGAAGGCGAUUAGAUACCGCCCUAGUUCUGACCGUAAACGAUGCCAUCUCGCGAUUCGGAGGGUUUUUGCCCUGCCGAGGAGCUAUCCGGAAACGAAAGUCUUUCGGUUCCGGGGGUAGUAUGGUUGCAAAGCUGAAACUUAAAGAAAUUGACGGAAGGGCACCACAAGGCGUGGAGCUUGCGGCUUAAUUUGACUCAACACGGGAAAACUCACCCGGUCCGGACACCAUUAGGACUGACAGAUUGAAAGCUCUUUCUCGAUUUGGUGGUUGGUGGUGCAUGGCCGUUCUUAGUUGGUGGAGUGAUUUGUCUGGUUUAUUCCGAUAACGAGCGAGACUCUAGCCUGCUAAAUAGUUGGCGAAUCUUCGGGUUCGUAUAACUUCUUAGAGGGAUAAGCGG